AUCGCUCAAAAAUGCUCAAAACAAAAUUGAAACGCCAUCUUAAAAAGAAGCCAUAGCCUUUGUUUUGAUGAUUUCCUACGAUAAAAUACCACGGCGCUGGUUUUAACUGAUCUAACGAGUAAAGAAUGCCUCCAAGAAUGCACUUAUGAUUUCCAAAAUAUAACCCCUUGAAGAAUUACUACAAAAUGAACGGAGUGAAAAUUCUCUUUCGUCGCCGCAUAUCAUGACCUUCUCUCAGCUUGCGUCGUUUAUUUUACUAUGAACCUAGUGCCCAUAACUAUGACCUAGUGUUUGAACUAUCUAGUACAAAGGAUGUGUAAUGAAUCUAGCUGUCGAUACUGCGAAUGAAAUGGGCCCAAAUGUGGAACUAUUCAGGCAAGCAACCUGACUACUCUAUUAGAAUGAACCCCGGUAUGUGUAAUCGUUACUGAAGAAAAAUAAAUUGAAAUUACACUAUGAGGACUCCCUUGCUAUUUUUGGUGAUUACAAACAACUGUGAAGCCAACUGAAAACAAUUUUGAUGGCUUGCCCGAUACCUAGUCGUCAGUGAGCGGAGCAAAUUCCAUGCCCUCAUGGGUUCUUCCGAGUCUUUCUACAGUCCCCUAGUAAGUAUAAC